AUAGGAUCGAUGCGCUGUAACGCC
rnacentral:siRNA from 1 species